AAGUUCUUGCUGCCGGAGGAGGCAGAAUUGUCCCUUCAAGACGAAGCAGGCGAGGUGGAUGAAGAAGUCCUGCAAAUUCUUCUCGAACAGGCCACCACCCUCAAUCUUAUCUUCUAUGUGAAAGGAGAAGACACAGGAGCGACAACAUUUGAAGUCGUGAUCUUAUGUUAGCUCAACCUCGACUUCAAUUUUCCAUAGUGAACAGGACGGGAAUUUAUUCAAACAGGUGCUGAACAAUUUUCUGGAAGAAAAUCAACAACUUUCUGCCGUCGUUUCCGAUUGCAACAAAAAUGGUUUCGUUGAUUCCAGUUCUUCUUCCUACUUAAUUAAGGAAUUUGUUGAAAAACUUGUUCAGUAUAAAGGCGAGACUCCGCCUACAAAGGACUAGAAACUU